UACGAGGCCAGCCUUCAAAGGCAUAAGUAAUAAAAAAAAAGUUGUCGGCAAUUGUCUAACCCCUUUGUCUUGGUAAAAAUUAGUAAUUUAAUUAUUUUUCGUUAUUUAUUUGAAUAUAUAGUAAAUAAUUUAUGUCUUGACUACUUCAUAAGUCAUCAUGUUUGUCUGUGCGAUUGAUUGAUACGAAUGACUGGAUAUUUAAUAUCUAGAAUAUAUUUUUGAUAUUUUGAGUAUUUACUUGCUCGAAUAAUUGUUCAUCAUCAUUUUCUUCACUGAUGUUUCGUUGGUGCAAAAAUGCUUUGAGGAAAAAAUAAACUUCAGUGAGAGAUUAAUUGGAGUAAAAUUAAUUUAUUGAUUCCAAUCAUCAUGAAUCUCUUGUGGUUGCUCCGGAUGCUGGAAGCGCAGAAAUACGUCCGCUGAGGUUUUGACUGAUGGAAUUAUUUAAAAUCAAUUGUUAGAGAUGAAAAUAAAUUGUUUUUAUCGAGUGUCAAUUGUUAGAGGAACAGAU